AUUCCAGCUCCAAUAGCUUAUAUUAAAGUUGUUGCAGUUAAAAAGCUAGUAGUUGGAUUUGUGGUGCUGCUUGCAGUCCAAUUAGCUUUGGUGCUAGCGGGUGGUGCCAUCUUUGGGUGGAACCUGUAGGGCAUUAGCUUGUUUUGCAGGGGAUACCCAUCGUUUACUGUGAAAAAAUUAGAGUGUUCAAAGCAGGCUUAUGCCGUUGAAUAUACUAGCAUGGAAUAAUGAAAUAGGACUUUGGUACUAUUUUGUUGGUUUGCGCGCCAAAGUAAUGAUUAAUAGGGACAGUUGGGGGUAUUCGUAUUCCAUAGUCAGAGGUGAAAUUCUUGGAUUUUUGGAAGACGAACUACUGCGAAAGCAUUUACCAAGGAUGUU
rnacentral:rRNA from 1 species